rnacentral:rRNA from 1 species
AUUGAACGCUGGCGGCAGGCCUAACACAUGCAAGUCGAGCGAGCGGCGGACGGGUGAGUAAUGUCUGGGAAACUGCCUGAUGGCGGGGGAUAACUACUGGAAACGGUAGCUAAUACCGCAUACCAUCAGAUGUGCCCAGAUGGGAUUAGCUAGUCGGUGGGGUAACGGCUCACCUUGGCGACGAUCCCUAGCUGGUCUGAGAGGAUGACCGGCCACACUGGAACUGAGACACGGUCCAGACUCCUACGGGAGGCAGCAGUGGGGAAUAUUGGACAAUGGGCGAAAGCCUGAUGCAGCAAUGCCGCGUGAGUGAAGAAGGCCUUCGGGUUGUAAAGCACUGUCAGCGGGGAGGCGUUACCCACAGAGAAAGCACCGGCUAACUCCGUGCCAGCAGCCGCGGUAAUUC